UUAUUAUCACACAGCAUUUGGACAUUUCCACAGAUGAGAAGUACAAGAGUAAACCAUCGUGCCCUGGAGUACGGAUGAGUUCCCAGUACCCAAGACUUUGGAAUUUUCUGCCCAAAGAGUUCAGGCCAACUGACAGAACAUCUGCGCGAGACUUUCCUGGAAGUUGCCAGCUGGCACACUGCCACCAUUGGGAUGUGUAUAGGGGAGAGCUUUGGGGAUGGACCUUGGACAAUGAGCUGGCUACAGGAAGAAGCUGGGCAAAUGAAGAGGUUGGGGGCCAGGGCCUGGACACUAGCUCUCUCUACCUCCAACUUCUGGCAUAGAACUCUGAAAAUUCUACAUGCAAACCUGAACUUCCAGGUUGCUAUGAAGGUGAGGAAACAAUUCUUUAGGAAGGUGAAGAACUCCAUUCAAACGUAUAUCUCUAACAAGCCAGGUGCAUCAAUUUGAAUACAGGAGGAUAAGUAGCAAGCUGGGAGCAGCAAUAAGAUAAAGGAGCUGGAAUAAACAUGUUUGAACCCCUCUUUUGGCCUGUUCACCUGCCCUUCUUUCUUGCUGGUACCUGGACCAAAGGGAAGGCUGAACCCCACUGGCAGACAGAUGAUGGCCAUACCCCAAGAACUUUUCAUAACUGAGGCCCUUUGACACCAAGGAUGUGGACCUGAGAAACAGGGAGGUCUGGCUAAGUAUCACAGUAAAAGCCCCCUGUCUCCCAAGGAGACAUAGAGCCAGUGCUGUGUGACCUCUUAUACCAACAGGCUCAAGAUUGGAUGUUGCCAGACAAUGAUCCUGAAGCCUAAGGUUUCCAUUCCAACAUGAACACUCCCUAAGUGACAAAGGGUAAGGCACCUAUCUUCCUGGAAUCUCAAGUUUCCCCCCAUAUGCAAUGAGGAAAACAUGCUAAUCUACCUACCAGAGAGGUAUUGUGAGACCAAUUAACAUGUUCUUAUGUAAUCAUAAAGCAAAAAUAAAAAUUAAAAAAAAGAAGAAAAAUGCUCAAAUCACAGCUAUAUUCUAUUGGAAAAUAUUGCCAUUUUUAACUGU